UCCAUGCCAUCAGGAGAACACGCCAAGCAAAACAAAAUAAGUACUCAACGUAAUAAGAUAAUGUUGUUCAAUACGUCCUCUUUGAAAUGACCCACUAUUUCGUGAUCACUCAACUUAUAUUUUGGAAUCAAUAAAACACAUCAAGUACGUAGUUGCAAUGUUCUGAUUGAUAACCGGAAAUAAGCAGCACAUGCUUGUCGCGACUUAUCACCGGCAGUAUUGGCGACAAAUAACCGUCGCGUUUAUCACGUUGAACGUUUCAUAUUACUUUUUAAUACCCCCUCCCUUUCUUGCACUCUAUAUAAGAGACCCAUCCUCAGAUGCUACAUGUUCUUACAUCUGAGAAAAAACUUGCGUGCUAGUAAUGACAUAUUGUUGCAGUGUACAAACAUGUGUUCCAGGUGGUUGCCGCGCUGAUGAUAGUUGUCAAGCCUAUCAUGACCUGAAGCCUAUGCACAUCUAAGGUGAUAAUGAAGAUAAUUCAGUAAGGGGGCACAUCAAGGAAUUCAAAGCAUGGGUAAAUGGUAUCAUGAUAUAUAAUCAAUUUUGUUAUUUGUACUUUUGGUUACUUGGGAGAGUGUCUCAAUGUUUAGUUGUUUACAAUCUCGUUGUUUCACAAAUAACGUUCGACCGAGGCAGCACCUUUUCUUAGCUAGGAAUCAAAAGAACAUAUAUUUAAUUUAUUUUUAGCACAACUGUAUCAUAUAUACUUGCUCAUCAUUUCUGUAUACAAUGACAUGGUUGGCAGCUGGCAAGGCUGGAGACCAUGAAUGCAAAAGAACUAAUGGAGUAUGGUAAGGCAAACAAAGAUAUGUUUAGCAGUGAAAUGAGAGCAGCACUUAAGAAGCUUCUUCAGCAAAAGAAACAACAACCACCCAAGAAGAAAAACAAGAGCACUGCGUUUGGUCCAAUAUUAGGCGCAGUGUUGAAGUUCCACAAGGACGAUGAUGAUGACGAUGACGAUGGCGAUGGAAACCCUCCAGGAGGAGCUCCUAUUGCAUGCUGAAGGGUCUUUGUUACCCACCUUGAUCACAAUAAUGGUGUCCAGUGGCAUUUUUUAGCAAGCAUCUCACGGAUCGAUGGCAUUUUUGAGCAGCUGUAACUUCUAAUGGCAAAACUGAGUAGUGGGACACAACCGGUGGCAUAAAUGAUAAAAACCCUUAUUGGAAGCAUAGUAUAUAGCAGUGUUUUGAGUGCUUUGAGUUAGAGGGGAACUUACUUGGGCCCUUUGGUAGUAUAUUGAAUUUCCGAUAAUUGGAAGUUACUCCCAGCAUUGAAAUGCUCGGUCCGAAAAUUCAAAAA